rnacentral:misc_RNA from 1 species
AAAAAAAAAAAAAAAAAAAAUAUGGGGUUAAGUUAAAUUGAAUUCUUUCUGACACUUCUUCAGAAAUUAACCAAUAGAAGUUAAAUUUUUAGAUUACUAUGUACCGGUUGAAUCAAUGACUAUUCACGAUUCUAUAAUUGAAUCAAUUACAUACUAGUUCAAAACUAAGGAAUGUUAUGGUAAAACUUCGUUUGAAACGAUGUGGUAGAAAGCAACGUGCGACUUGAAGGACACGAUCGGCUGUGGAUUCUUACAUCCACCCUAUUAAUAUUAUAUAGUAAUAUUAUAUAGCAUAUAGUAAUAGUAUAUAGGAAUGAGGGUGCUCUUAGCUCGACAUCGUUUGUUCUGUUAUACACUAGAGCCUUCAUUUUUUGUUGGGUUGUAAUGUAAAUAGUACAUGGUGGAGCUCGAGUAGAAAGGAUUGAUUUCUUUCUUAGGGGCAAGAAUCUAGGGUUAGUACUAAUCAAUAAGUUGGAACAACUUCGUAAGUAUAUUUUCGAUAUCGAAAUAGAAAGAAUCCAAUUCGAGCAAGUUUAAAAUCCAAGAAAAAGUUUGUUGGAAUUACCAAAAUUCUUUUGAUUAAAAAAUAAAGUGUAUCACGCAGGAAUCAAUCGUUAGUCCGAUUCUUUGAUAGAAAAAAAAUCACAAAAAGUGGUAUGUUGCUGCCAUUUUGAAACGAUUAAAGAUCACCGAAGUAAUGUCUAAACCUAACGAUUCAAGGCAAACAUAAAGGAUCCUGGAACAAGUAAAUACCGUUUUCAAUUGUCUCAACAAUUAGAUUAGAAUGAAGAAUCAAAAAUAGAUUAUAAAAGAAAGAAACAAAAAUAAAGGGGAUUAGAGAUCACUCAAUAAAUGAAAUGCCUAAAGGGUUCCCUUUGAGCUAUUUGAAAGUUAUCCAACUUGAGUUAGGAGGGUACAGAUGAUUUUUUUCUUUUUUGGUAAACAAAAAUAAGAAGAAAAGGGACUUAAAUCAUAGUUUAAUUGAUUUGAUGAUUUUAUGGAUCUAUUUGACACUAUAAUUCUAUACAUAUAUAGAACUUCGAAUCAUUUUUCUCGAGCCGUACGAGGAGAAAACUUCUUAUACGUUUCUACGGGAGGGGUCUUUUUUUUUCUACUUCUAUCCCAAUGAGUCGUUUAUCGAAUCGUUGCAAUUGAUGUUCGAUCCCGAAGAGAAGGAAGAGAUCUUCGGAAAGUGGGGUUUUAUGAUCCGAUAAAAAAUCAAACCUAUUUAAAUGUUCCUGCUAUUCUAUAUUUCCUUGAAAAAGGCGCUCAACCUACAGGAACUGUUCAUGAUAUUUUAAGAAAGGCGGGGGUUUUUACGGAACUUCGCCUUAAUCAAACGCAAUUUACUUAAUGAAAUACAGGGUGUGGGUAAUUCGUAUACAUAUAUAGCUUUCUAUAACCUUUUCUCUACUAUCCCCCCCUCUCUUGUUCUAUUCAUACUCUAUUCAUACCUAUUUUUUUUCUUCAUUGUGUAU